AACGCACAUUGCGCCCUUUGGUAUUCCAAAGGGCAUGCCUGUUCGAGCGUCAUUUGUACCCUCAAGCUUUGCUUGGUGUUGGGCGUCUUUUUGUCUCUCCCCUUGUUGGGGGAGACUCGCCUUAAAACGAUUGGCAGCCGACCUACUGGUUUUCGGAGCGCAGCACAAAUUUGCGCCUUCCAAUCCACGGGGCGGCAUCCAGCAAGCCUUUGUUUUCUAUAACAAAUCCACAUUUUGACCUCGGAUCAGGUAGGGAUACCCGCUGAACUUAA
rnacentral:misc_RNA from 2 species